AAGUCGUAACAAGGUUUCCGUAGGUGAACCUGCGGAAGGAUCAUUAUCGUUAUCCACGUAUCACCAUUGUGAACCGUUUACCUCUAAGGAGAGAUGAGACAGCUUGUAGGAGUGGGUAUACCAAAGGCUCUUUAUUGUGAUUGAGAGCUUGCUCACGACUACCUCGGGUUAGCAAUAACUCGUACUCGCUUUCCUUAGUUGUAUUUUCAAUCGCACUUUGAUUAACCUUUUGAACAACAAAUAAACAAUAUAACCUAUGUACUGAAUUGUUUCUUACUCUGCCUUAACCGGCCGGAGAAGAAAUUCAUUACGAAACAUAAGAACAACUCUUAGCAACGGAUAUCUUGGUUCUC
rnacentral:misc_RNA from 1 species